GCAGAUGUAGUCUAGCCCGGUAAGGCGCUGGCUUCGAGAGCCAGUGCGCGUAAUGCGUUCGGGGGUUCGAAUCCCUCCAUCUGCG
rnacentral:tRNA from 1 species